rnacentral:lncRNA from 1 species
GGGAAAUGGUAAGAAGCCUGCCACACCAAUUUGGACUGGCCUAGCCCUCCGUCCAAGAUAGACAUGAUGCUGAUUCCAGGGAUCAACCUAUGAGAAACUGUUCUGUACCAUCUUGGAUCUUCAGAAACAUGAGUCUAGCUGAAAAGAUAAGAAGCGUGCAUUUUGGAACAUUCAAGAUGAUACAUAGGGUGGCUGGAGAGACAGCUCACUGGUGAAGAACACCUGCUGCUCUUCCAAAGGACUCCAGUUCAUUUCCCAUCACUCACAUCAGCCUAUCAAAAGGGAUCGUGACUGAACACAACCAGGACAUCAGAAUCUCUGGCUCUUGUCUUUUAGACUUCGAAGGAGGAUCAUUACUAUUAUUUACUCUACGCCUGCCCAAGACCUCCCUCAGUUCCUUGUCUGCAGGCCUAAACAUCUGAGCAGAGAAAAUAAAAGCAAAGAGUUCCCUAAAAUGCCACCAUACAGAAGGUUCAGGAAGUAAGAAACCUAAAGGCCUAAUUAUGCCUCUGAGAGAAGUGGUUUGGCAUCUCCAUCCCUGGAGGAAUGAUGUAGCACACACCAAGGCUUUAUGAACAGACAGCUUCCAGCCCAGGUUACAAAGCCUUGGGGACUACAGCAGAAAGCCAGCAUGUCAUAAUCACAAGUGUGACGAAAAUCACUCUCUUCCUGUCUCUGAAUGUGACUCCGUGAGAUGCUCAUCUGCUACAGGUUAUCAGCAGGAUCCCCACAUGAGGAACAGAAACGAUUUCCCCUCAAACCCUUUUUCCUGUACCUUAAACCAAGCUCCUCUGUGCUACAAGGUGAUAGAUAAUCCAUGAGAGAAGAUCGUGGAAACUUCAGGAAACAG